GAUCAUGGCUCAGAUUGAACGCUGGCGGCAUGCUUUACACAUGCAAGUCGAACGGCAGCAUAGAGAGCUUGCUCUCUGAUGGCGAGUGGCGAACGGGUGAGUAAUACAUCGGAACGUGUCCGUUUGUGGGGGACAACCACCCGAAAGGGUGGCUAAUACCGCAUAAGACCUGAGGGUGAAAGCCGGGGACCGCAAGGCCUGGCGCGAACGGAGCGGCCGAUGACUGAUUAGCUUGGG
rnacentral:rRNA from 1 species